AACGAACGCUGGCGGCAGGCCUAACACAUGCAAGUCGAGCGAGGACUUCGGUCCUAGCGGCGGACGGGUGAGUAACGCGUGGGAACGUGCCCUUUGCUACGGAAUAGCCCCGGGAAACUGGGAGUAAUACCGUAUGUGCCCUUCGGGGGAAAGAUUUAUCGGCAAAGGAUCGGCCCGCGUUGGAUUAGGUAGUUGGUGGGGUAAUGGCCUACCAAGCCGACGAUCCAUAGCUGGUUUGAGAGGAUGAUCAGCCACACUGGGACUGAGACACGGCCCAGACUCCUACGGGAGGCAGCAGUGGGGAAUCUUAGACAAUGGGGGAAACCCUGAUCUAGCCAUGCCGCGUGAGCGAUGAAGGCCUUAGGGUUGUAAAGCUCUUUCAGUGGGGAAGAUAAUGACGGUACCCACAGAAGAAGCCCCGGCUAGCUCCGUGCCAGCCGCCGCCGUAAUAC
rnacentral:rRNA from 1 species